ACUCCUACGGGAGGCAGCAGUGAGGAAUAUUGGUCAAUGGGCGCAAGCCUGAACCAGCCAUGCCGCGUGCAGGAUGACGGUCCUAUGGAUUGUAAACUGCUUUUAUACAGGAAGAAACACUCCCUCGUGAGGGAGCUUGACGGUACUGUAGGAAUAAGGAUCGGCUAACUCCGUGCCAGCAGCCGCGGUAAUACGGAGGAUCCAAGCGUUAUCCGGAAUCAUUGGGUUUAAAGGGUCCGUAGGCGGUUUAAUAAGUCAGUGGUGAAAGCCUAUCGCUUAACGAUAGAACGGCCAUUGAUACUGUUAGACUUGAAUUAGUGGGAAGUAACUAGAAUAUGUAGUGUAGCGGUGAAAUGCUUAGAUAUUACAUGGAAUACCAAUUGCGAAGGCAGGUUACUAUCACUAUAUUGACGCUGAUGGACGAAAGCGUGGGGAGCGAACAGGAUUAGAUACCCUGGUAG
rnacentral:rRNA from 1 species